UGCAGACACCUGUGACAUAGUCUGGGGACCUCCUAAUUAAGCCCCGUGUCAGCGGAAAGUCUCUCUGUGCCCGCGCAGGCCGGCCACGCGUGUCGGAUGUGUGGCGGGAGGGCUGGCGUGCAGACGGCGGCUCCGAUUUCUGAGACUGAACAUGAUGUCUUUUCGGUCACCAGGGAAACCUCCAUCUUUCCUGUGACUCGGGAUGGUGUCUAUCAGAGAAGACUGUGAAGUAGCCGUCCCACGGGGAAAUGAAGUCGUGUCAGGAAGGCAGGAAACGAUAAGGAGAUUGAGCAGGAGGACUUCUCAGAGCCUUUAAUAUGCCACCAGGCACGGUGCAUGCCCAGGAUCCUCUUGGGUGAAGAGUGUUACAGUGACAACUUGGGGACGUGUAUCCAGAGCCACUCCAAGUGUGGCCGGUGGCCUGUUGGGAGACGGCUUCUUUCUGGUCUGCAAAAAAAACCCAUUUCCACCUGCCAUGGUAAAUUGAUGCCCCUUCGGACAGUCACUGCUGCAGAGUGACCUG